CUGGGAUAUGUGGCAACUGUCCUGACCUGCAGCUGAAGCUAGUGGCCAGGAUAGUCAGGUGACACAAGAAUGAAGCCAUGAAAGAUAUUAUUGGGAGUUGUAGCAGUUUGGAAGCCAGGCAUAGUCUUCCUACAGUGGAUACACAUCCAACCACAGAUGUCUCCAUCAGGGCCCAUCAGUCUGUGAUAUUUGAACUUUAGAAAACAGUUGGAAUUAUCUGAUGACUUCUAAAGAGCCACAGAUCUGUAAUUCUUAGCGGGAGACAAAGCAGCAGGAUUGCAUGCCCAGGAAGGCAAAUGUGUAUCCUUUAUUGUCCCUAUUCUCUGCCCCACCUUGUGUUUUCUGGUCACCUAUACCCCAGAACCCCUCGCCACGUGGUCUUAAGGCCUUAAAAAUUUUCUUUAAAUUUUAUUAAAAGGGGAAUCUUCA